GAGAGGUCCCUUUAAAUAGGCAUAAAGAUUUUAUCCUAUUCAAUCACAUAAUACAAGUCCUACUUGUAUUGGUUUCCUAUUAACUUAAGUUAUCCAACUUACUUUAGGAGAUCCUUUAGGCAUCAAUAAUUGGGGUCCUUGUACCCAUAAUUAGACAUCCCAAAAUAUACCCAAGAGACAUCCCAUAAGAGAAUUAAAAGCUCUCUAAUCAAUGGACA
rnacentral:lncRNA from 1 species